rnacentral:rRNA from 1 species
UGCUUAACACAUGCAAGUCGAACGGAUGUGCCUUCGGGUACGUUAGUGGCGGACGGGUGAGUAAUACGUAGGGAUCUGCCCUGAAGAUUGGGAUAACCCGGGGAAACUCGGGCUAAUACCGGAUAAUGUCGAGAGACGAAAGGAAGGGGACCUUCGGGCCUUUCGCUUUAGGAUGAACCUGCGUCUGAUUAGCUAGUUGGUAGGGUAAGAGCCUACCAAGGCGAUGAUCGGUAGCUGGUCUGAGAGGAUGACCAGCCACACUGGGACUGAGACACGGCCCAGACUCCUACGGGAGGCAGCAGUGGGGAAUAUUGGACAAUGGGGGCAACCCUGAUCCNNCGAUACCGCGUGUGUGAAGAAGGCCUGCGGGUUGUAAAGCAC